AACGUAGGACACAAGCGUUAUCCGGAGUUACUGGGCGUAAAGCGCGUGUAGGCGGCUCGAUAAGUCCGCUCUGAAAGUCCGGGGCUCAACCCCGGGAGGCGGGUGGAUACUGUCGAGCUAGAGUCCGGAAGAGGCGAGUGGAAUUCCUGGUGUAGCGGUGAAAUGCGCAGAUAUCAGGAGGAACACCAAUGGCGAAGGCAGCUCGCUGGGACGGUACUGACGCUGAGACGCGAAAGCGUGGGGAGCAAACAGG
rnacentral:rRNA from 1 species